rnacentral:tRNA from 1 species
UCGGGAUUAGUAUAGUGGUAGAACGUCUGGUUUUCACCCAGUUGGCCCGGGUUUAAUUCCCGGAUUCCGAA